rnacentral:rRNA from 1 species
AUUGAACGCUGGCGGCAUGCUUUACACAUGCAAGUCGAACGGCAGCACGGGUGCUUGCACCUGGUGGCGAGUGGCGGACGGGUGAGUAAUGCAUCGGAACGUGUCCUGAAGUGGGGGAUAACGCAUCGAAAGAUGUGCUAAUACCGCAUAUUCUCUGAGGAGGAAAGUAGGGGAUCGAAAGACCUUAUGCUUUUGGAGCGGCCGAUGUCUGAUUAGCUAGUUGGUAGGGUAAUGGCUUACCAAGGCGACGAUCAGUAGUUGGUCUGAGAGGACGACCAGCCACACUGGGACUGAGACACGGCCCAGACUCCUACGGGAGGCAGCAGUGGGGAAUUUUGGACAAUGGGCGCAAGCCUGAUCCAGCAAUGCCGCGUGAGUGAAGAAGGCCUGGUUGUAAGCUCUUUCAGUUGAGAGAAAAAGUACGUAGACUAAUAAUACAUGAUUC